CAGUAGCCGCGGGAAUACAGAGGGUGCGAGCGUUAAUCGGAUUUACUGGGCGUAAAGCGUGCGUAGGCGGCUUUUUAAGUCGGAUGUGAAAUCCCUGAGCUUAACUUAGGAAUUGCAUUCGAUACUGGGAAGCUAGAGUAUGGGAGAGGAUGGUAGAAUUUUAGGUGUAGCGGUGAAAUGCGUAGAGAUCUGGAGGAAUACCGAUGGCGAAGGCAGCCAUCUGGCCUAAUACUGACGCUGAGGUACGAAAGCAUGGGGAGCAAACAGGAUUAGAUACCCCCGUAGUCCCUGUCUCUUAUAC
rnacentral:rRNA from 1 species